UCCUAGACUCCAAGUUCUCUAACUCUCUCUAAAUUUGCUGGAUUUUUUUGGGAUCCGAAGGGGGUAUGGAGGGGGUUCUUUAUAGGAAAACUUUGGUGUACCUUGAUGAAUUAAAUGGCUGAUAUGGUAGUUUAUCUCCACUUUGCAGCACUUUAAUUAAAGAAACUUUGUUAUUUGGAGGGGUAAGUACACUACAAAUAAAACCAUUUUGUUUGCUUAUUGUAGAGGAAACAGGCUCCUGGAAAGGGGAGAAGAGGUGAAGGGCUGACUUGCCCUUUUUCACAAGGAGAGAAGUCCCCAUUGGAUGUCCUAGGAGAGAGAGACGACUGCCUUGUUGGGUGAGAGAUGUGGAAAGACUCCAAGGCAGAUUUCUAUUUUGGGGUAGGCAUACUAGCUCCACACAGUCUAAAGAGCUACUGCCCCCCUGGCAGGUCUUGGGGAGAAGGAACACAGUCGGCUGGCUGCUAAAGGGGCCCAACGGCUGUUCUUCAAGUCAUUGGGCCGAAACACUCUUG